CCUCUUCUCUAAUCUUGAGGUAGAGAUACUGAAUCUUUGAACUGCUUCUAACAAAUUGUUUGAGAAAAUGAGGUGAUAUUAAAGGCAUAUUUUGAGAAAACGAAAGAGUUUUUUUACCUUGCAUGCAUGUAAACCUAUUGUAGGAAACUCACAAAACAAUAUUAGGAACCCUAAAAAUGGCACAAUGGGGCACUUUAAAGCGCCAGACAACGAAACUGCGCAUGCGCGCUUUUAAUGAAUGGAACGACGUCGUGCGCUGGUGUGGACGUGCCUUAAAUGUUUUUACUUGAAAUGCAUGCAAAAUAACCUGAAAUAUUCUGACCUGUGAGUGUCUAUUUUUGUGUAUUUGUGCUGUUAAGACACACGCGCGCGCACAAACACACUAAGCGGGCCGAUGUUGCCCAGUGACUUUGCUCUCGCCUGACAGUCUGUCUCCCUUCCUCUCGCCCCUCUUCCGCGCUCUACUUCCCUCUCCGGCUUGCGGCAGUCUUUCAUUCCGCUAACUGCCUCUCUCUCUCCCUCUCAGACUGAGACAAGGCCGACAGGGAUGGCGUUCUGUCUCCAAAAACCAUAAAUGACAGUCAGACAUUUGCAAGACAUCUGUAUCCUGGCUGACCCUUCUAUGAACACUCCUGAAGAAAUGGUGGAACAGAGCAGAGAGUCAACCGUGAUGCGACGACACCAGAACACUGCCAAUAUAAUCAAUGAAGCUGUCUACACUGCAAGUUUGUGAAGCCAUGUGACAAAACUAGAAUAUUUCCAUUAUAAUCAGCAAAUCUGUCUACAUUGCAUGCAAGUGAAGCUCCGCAACAAAGCAAUCCACAUUGCAAGAGUGAAAAGCAACAAAAGUAGAACUUUUGCAUUAUAAUCAACAAAGCUGUGUAUAAGCUGUGCAAGUGAGUGACACAACAAAUUUAGAAUGGUUGCAUUGUAAUCAAUAAAACCUACAUUGCAAAUGAGAAAUGCGACAAAACUUUUAACAAAUAUAGCCGUCUUUUGACACAGCAAGCAAUCAAAGCAAGGUGACAAAACUAGCUGUUAUAAUCAGCGAAUCUGUCUACAUUGCAUGCAAAAUGCUGCAACAAUGGGGCCUACACUGCAAGUGUGCAGAAAUGUGACAUAACAAAAGCUGAUAGCUGAUAACUGUUCGCUUGCAUAUACACUGCAUGCAAGCAAAGCAAGGUGACAAAAUUUGAAGUCUUACAUUUAAAUCAACAAAGCUGUGUACUCUGCAAACGAGUGGGGUGGAGCCGAGAGCCAUGGGAAUGGAGCGAGGCCAGUGGAGUUAAUGAUAAUGAGCGACACCUGCACCUCUCACCGGUCUUGAGUCCCACAGAGGAGCUCCGGAAAGGAUAAAAGAAGGAGUGACAACAGUGUUGGAUGAGAGAGGACCUGGCCUGGAUUUUUAAUGUUGUUUUGUUUCUGUUUGUGCGUGGCCUGUGAGGGGCUAUUUUCAGUUUUGUGUUUGUUUUAUUAUUAAAGGUUUGUUUAAAUGUUCACCGGUUCCAGCCUCCUCCUUCCUGAUCUAUGGAGUUUGUUACAAGUGCAACAAAUCCAGAAUCCUUGCAUUAUAAUCAAUAAAACCUACACUGUCAGCAGUAGUGUAGUGGUGCCCGGA
ensembl:lncRNA